rnacentral:rRNA from 1 species
UACGGAGGGUGCUAGCGUUGUUUGGAAUUACUGGGCGUAAAGCGUGCGCAGGCGGUUUUGUAAGCCAGAUGUGAAAUCCCCGGGCUUAACCUGGGAAUGGCAUUUGGGACUGCAAGGCUGGAGUGUGGCAGAGGAGACUGGAAUUCCUGGUGUAGCAGUGAAAUGCGUAGAUAUCAGGAGGAAUACCGAUGGCGAAGGCAGGUCUCUGGGCUGACACUGACGCUCAUGCACGAAAGCGUGGGGAGCAAACAGG